CCUACGGGGGGCAGCAGUGAGGAAUAUUGGUCAAUGGACGCGAGCCUGAACCAGCCAAGUAGCGUGAAGGAUGACUGCCCUACGGGUUGUAAACUUCUUUUAUAUGGGAAUAAAGUUAGGCACGUGUACCGUUUUGUAUGUACUUUAUGAAUAAGGAUCGGCUAACUCCGUGCCAGCAGCCGCGGUAAUACGGAGGAUCCGAGCGUUAUCCGGAUUUAUUGGGUUUAAAGGGAGCGUAGACGGACGGUUAAGUCAGUUGUGAAAGUUUGCGGCUCAACCGUAAAAUUGCAAUUGAUACUGGCAGUCUUGAGUGCAGCAGAGGUAGGCGGAAUUCGUGGUGUAGCGGUGAAAUGCUUAGAUAUCACGAAGAACUCCGAUUGCGAAGGCAGCUUACUAAACUGCAACUGACAUUGAUGCUCGAAAGUGUGGGUAUCAAACAGGAUUAGAUACCCGAGUAGUC
rnacentral:rRNA from 1 species